rnacentral:rRNA from 1 species
CUACGGGGGGCAGCAGUGAGGAAUAUUGCACAAUGGGGGGAACCCUGAUGCAGCAACGCCGCGUGGAGGAUGACGCAUUUCGGUGUGUAAACUCCUUUUAUAUGUCAAGAAAAUGACGGUAGCAUAUGAAUAAGCACCGGCUAACUCCGUGCCAGCAGCCGCGGUAAUACGGAGGGUGCAAGCGUUACUCGGAAUCACUGGGCGUAAAGGGCGCGUAGGCGGGUUGGAAAGUCAGGUGUGAAAUCCUACAGCUUAACUGUAGAACUGCACUUGAAACUUCUAAUCUAGAGUAUGGGAGGGGGAGAUGGAAUUAGUGGUGUAGGGGUAAUAUCCGUAGAUAUCACUAGGAAUACCUAAAGCGAAGGCGAUCUCCUGGAACAUUACUGACGCUAAGGCGUGAAAGCGUGGGGAGCAAACAGGAUUAGAUACCCCGGUAGUC